rnacentral:tRNA from 1 species
AUUUUGUCACCUCAAAAAAUAGUCGAUUGUUUAAAUCAAAUCGCGCCCGAUGCUUUCUUUACUACUGAUGUAGGGCA